UCUUAUUAAGAGCAGGUGGAGGGACUAGCCCAAUGAAGCCCGGCAACCGACUUACAAAAUGUGAGCACGGUGCUAAUUCUUGCAGCGUUUAGCUGAGAGAUAAGA
rnacentral:ncRNA from 1 species